rnacentral:rRNA from 1 species
AGUGAACGCUGGCGGUAGGCCUAACACAUGCAAGUCGAACGGCAGCACAGUAAGAGCUUGCUCUUACGGGUGGCGAGUGGCGGACGGGUGAGGAAUACAUCGGAAUCUACUUUUUCGUGGGGGAUAACGUAGGGAAACUUACGCUAAUACCGCAUACGACCUACGGGUGAAAGCAGGGGAUCUUCGGACCUUGCGCGAUUGAAUAAGCCGAUGUCGGAUUAGCUAGUUGGCGGGGUAAAUGCCCACCAAGGCGACGAUCCGUAGCUGGUCUGAGAGGAUGAUCAGCCACACUGGAACUGAGACACGGUCCAGACUCCUACGGGAGGCAGCAGUGGGGAAUAUUGGACAAUGGGCGCAAGCCUGAUCCAGCCAUACCGCGUGGGUGAAGAAGGCCUUCGGGUUGUAAAGCCCUUUUGUUGGGAAAGAAAAGCAGCAGGUUAAUACCCCGCUGUUCUGACGGUACCCAAAGAAUAAGCACCGGCUAACUUCGUG